rnacentral:rRNA from 1 species
AUUGAACGCUGGCGGCAUGCUUUACACAUGCAAGUCGAACGGUAACAGGCCGCAAGGUGCUGACGAGUGGCGAACGGGUGAGUAAUGCAUCGGAACGUGCCCAGUCGCGGGGGAUAACGCAGCGAAAGCUGUGCUAAUACCGCAUACGAUCUAUGGAUGAAAGCGGGGGACCGUAAGGCCUCGCGCGAUUGGAGCGGCCGAUGUCAGAUUAGGUAGUUGGUGGGGUAAAGGCCUACCAAGCCGACGAUCUGUAGCUGGUCUGAGAGGACGACCAGCCACACUGGGACUGAGACACGGCCCAGACUCCUACGGGAGGCAGCAGUGGGGAAUUUUGGACAAUGGGCGCAAGCCUGAUCCAGCAAUGCCGCGUGCAGGAAGAAGGCCUUCGGGUUGUAAACUGCUUUUGUACGGAACGAAACGGUCUGGGUUAAUACCCUGGGCUAAUGACGGUACCGUAAGAAUAAGCACCGGCUCACUACGUGCCAGCAGCCGCCGUAAAAC